rnacentral:rRNA from 1 species
CCCGCUGAACUUAAGCAUAUCAAUAAGCGGAGGAAAAGAAACCAACAGGGAUUGCCUUAGUAACGGCGAGUGAAGCGGCAAGAGCUCAAAUUUGAAAUCUGGCUUCCUUUUUGGGGCCCGAGUUGUAAUUUGCAGAGGAUGCUUUGGGUGUGGUCGCGGUCUAAGUCCCCUGGAACGGGGCAUCAUAGAGGGUGAGAAUCCCGUCUGGGACCGCCGGCCCCGCGCGUGUAAAGCUCCUUCGACGAGUCGAGUUGUUUGGGAAUGCAGCUCUAAAUGGGUGGUAAAUUUCAUCUAAAGCUAAAUAUUGGCCGGAGACCGAUAGCACACAAGUAGAGUGAUCGAAAGAUGAAAAGCACUUUGAAAAGAGAGUUAAACAGCAUGUGAAAUUGUUGAAAGGGAAGCGCUUGCGACCAGAUUUGAUCGCGGAGGCUCAGCCGGCAUACUUUGGCGGUGCACUCCUUCGCAGUCGAGCCAGCGUCGGUUCUGAUGGUUGGUUAAAGACCUUUGGAAUGUGUCGCCUUUCGGGGCGUCUUAUAGCUGAGGGUGUAAUGCGGCCUGUCGGGACCGAGGAACGCGUCUUUUGGCACGGACGCUGGCGUAAUGGUCGUAAGCGACCCGUCUUGAAACACGG